rnacentral:rRNA from 1 species
GACGAACGCUGGCGGCGCGCUUAACACAUGCAAGUCGAACGGAAAGGCCUGCUUUCCCUUGUGGAUUGCGGGUACUCGAGUGGCGAACGGGUGAGUAACACGUGAGUGAUCUGCCCCCAACUUGGGUAUAAGCCUGGGAAACUGGGUCUAAUUCCCGAUAGGACUGCAGGGUGGUGCCUGUGGUGGAAAACGAUUUUCUAGUGGUUGGGGAUGAGCUCGCGGCCUAUCAGCUUGUUGGUGGGGUAAUGGCCUACCAAGGCGGCGACGGGUAGCCGGCCUGAGAGGGUGGACGGCCACAUUGGGACUGAGAUACGGCCCAGACUCCUACGGGAGGCAGCAGUGGGGAAUAUUGCACAAUGGGCGGAAGCCUGAUGCAGCGACGCCGCGUGGGGGAUGACGGCCUUCGGGUUGUAAACUCCUUUCGACCGCGAGGAAGCCACCUGGUUGGAAGGGUGGUGACGGUAGUGGUAGUAGAAGCACCGGCUAACUACGUG